GAGAAAAAUAAGGGAAGAAGGAGGCGGCGUCCAUGGGUAAGGCAUGGGUGAGUUUGUUAUGAUAUCUCUUCUUUUUUACAUAACCAAUUGUUGGUUGUUAAAAUAUCUUAUCUCCUCCCUCUUGUCCAUGUUUAGAUAUGGAUGUCUUCUUUUCUUUUUAUCCAAAAGUUGGACAAAAUUAUUACAUCUCUAUUGUAGAGAUUUGGUGCAU
rnacentral:lncRNA from 1 species